AUGGCCACAAAAAAAGCAUCUUUUACGUGGGAGAAAAACAACAACAUAGUCAUUUCCACUGCCAUCAAAAGUUCUGCUCCCCUAAAAAGUGGACCUCUUUAUUCUGAUGUUAGCAUCUUAAAAGUUAACCAAACAGACUGGAACAAUAAGGAUGUUUACACAUGCGAGGUGAUGCACCAGGGACAAACUUACAUACAGAAGGCAUCGAAAGCUCCCAUUACAGUGACACUGGACCCUCCCACCCCAAAAGAAAUGUUCACAAAUAAACAAGUAAAGCUCAAAUGUACUGUUCGUGGACAGGAUAACAGCAUAUUAUCCAAUACUGAAAUAUCUUGGUUUACUAAUGGACAGAAA